GAUGAACGCUAGCUACAGGCUUAACACAUGCAAGUCGAGGGGCAGCAUCAUCAAAGCUUGCUUGAUGGAUGGCGACCGGCGCACGGGUGAGUAACACGUAUCCAACCUGCCGACAACACUGGGAUAGCCUUUCGAAAGAAAGAUUAAUACCGGAUGGCAUAGUUUUCCCGCAUGGGAUAAUUAUUAAAGAAUUUCGGUUGUCGAUGGGGGAUGCGUUCCAUUAGGCAGUUGGCGGGGUAACGGCCCACCAAACCAACGAUGGAUAGGGGGUUCUGAGAGGAAGGUCCCCCACAUUGGAACUGAGACACGGUCCAAACUCCUACGGGAGGCAGCAGUGAGGAAUAUUGGUCAAUGGACGAGAGUCUGAACCAGCCAAGUAGCGUGAAGGAUGACUGCCCUAUGGGUUGUAAACUUCUUUUAUACGGGAAUAAAGUUAGCCACGUGUGGCUUUUUGUAUGUACCGUAUGAAUAAGGAUCGGCUAACUCCGUG
rnacentral:rRNA from 1 species